GGUAGAGUGACCACUUGGCAGUGCACAAGCAAGUCAGAAUGAGUGACCUGAAGGUAGAUGACUUCUGUCCUUUUUACUGCCCAGACCCUGAUGGAGGGACCAUGCCCAUCCCUACCACUGGGGAGAGAUUCUUCCACACCAGUUCAUAGCAGCUCCUGUCUGCACCAGUUUUUAUGGGAGUUGCACAACUUAUUCCAGCAAGAUUCAUGUGCCUUCUAUACUUUGUCUGAAAAAGUGAAGCCAGUCUAAAAUGUCAUUUCACACCACGUGUACUCUCUGGAUUCCCAUUCAUUCCCAGUUGAUGAUAAAAAAGUGCCUGUAAGCACACUGAAGAAACCAACACCAAAGUCAAAUAAUCAUCUGUUUAUUUGAAGCUUGGAGUCUGAGCUCUGUGAUAUGUUGUAUUUGGAGUGGUGGCAGGUAACAAGAGCAUCAGAAAUAAACCCAGGCUCUCCUGAGGAGGUGUUAAUGCAGCCACA